rnacentral:rRNA from 1 species
UACGUAGGGUCCAAGCGUUAAUCGGAAUUACUGGGCGUAAAGCGUGCGCAGGCGGUUCGUUAAGUCAGCUGUGAAAGCCCCGGGCUCAACCUGGGAACUGCAUUGGAAACUAACGGGCUCGAGUGUGGCAGAGGGGGGUGGAAUUCCACGUGUAGCAGUGAAAUGCGUAGAGAUGUGGAGGAACACCGAUGGCGAAGGCAGGUCUCUGGGCCGAUACUGACGCUGAGGAGCGAAAGCGUGGGGAGCGAACAGG